UACGGAGGGUGCGAGCGUUGUCCGGAAUCACUGGGCGUAAAGGGCGCGUAGGCGGCGCGGAUAGUCGGCGGUGAAAGCCCGGAGCUCAACUCCGGGUCGGCCGUCGAUACUUCCGGGCUUGAGCACUGUAGAGGCAGAUGGAAUUCCGGGUGUAGCGGUGGAAUACGUAGAGAUCCGGAAGAACACCGGUGGCGAAGGCGGUCUGCUGGGCAGUUGCUGACGCUGAUGCGCGACAGCGUGGGGAGCAAACAGG
rnacentral:rRNA from 1 species